UACGGAGGGUGCAAGCGUUAUCCGGAAUCACUGGGUUUAAAGGGUGCGUAGGCGGUCCGAUAAGUCAGCCGUGAAAUCGCUGGGCUUAACCCAUGCAAUUGCGGUUGAUACUGUCGGACUUGAAUGGGGUUGAGGCUGGCGGAAUGCGACAUGUAGCGGUGAAAUGCUUAGAUAUGUCGCAGAACACCGAUUGCGAAGGCAGCCAGCUGGGCCUUUAUUGACGCUGAGGCACGAAAGCGUGGGGAGCAAA
rnacentral:rRNA from 1 species